rnacentral:rRNA from 1 species
GAAGAUGUAACGGGGCUCAAACUGGUUACCGAAGCUGCGGCUGUGCACGUAAGUGCACGGGGUAGGGGAGCGUUCUGUAAGCCUGCGAAGGUGUGUCGAGAGGCAUGCUGGAGGUAUCAGAAGUGCGAAUGCUGGCAUGAGUAACGACAAACACUGUGAAAGACAGUGUCGCCGAAAGUCCAAGGGUUCCUGCGUAAAGUUAAUCUUCGCAGGGUUAG